GGAGAGAUGGGUGAGUGGCUGAAACCAACGGUUUGCUAAACCGUCGUAGGGGUUAUACCUUACCCCGGGUUCGAAUCCCGGUCUCUCCG
rnacentral:tRNA from 2 species